GGUGCUUCAGGCAUGCAAGUCGAACGGACACUUCGGUGUUAGUGGCGGACGGGGUGAGUAACACGUAAGCAACCUGCCCAGAAGUGGGGAAUAACUGGCCGAAAGGCUAGCUAAUACCGCAUGUGAUGGCUUUUCCCUGGAGAGGUCAUUAAAGGCGAAAGUCGCUUCUGGAGGGGCUUGCGGCAGAUUAGCUUGUUGGUGGGGUAAUGGCCUACCAAGGCGACGAUCUGUAGCUGGUCUGAGAGGACGGACAGCCACACGGGGACUGAGAUACGGCCCCGACUCCUACGGGAGGCAGCAGCUAGGAAUCUUGGGAAUGGGCGAAAGCCUGACCCAGCAACGCCGCGUGGGCGAUGAAGGCCUUCGGGUUGUAAAGCCCUUUUGCAGGGGACGAUGAUGACGGUACCCUGCGAAUAAGCCACGGCUAACUACGUGCCAGCAGCCGCGGUAAUACGUAGGUGGCAAGCGUUGUCCGGAUUUACUGGGCGUAAAGGGCGUGCAGGCGGUCUGUUAAGUCUAGGGUGAAAGCUCCCGGCUCAACUGGGAGAGGUCCUUGGAUACUGGCGGACUUGAGGGAGGCAGAGGAGAAUAGAAUUCCCG
rnacentral:rRNA from 1 species